GGACAGAUGGGUGAGUUGGCUGAAACCACACCCCUGCUAAGGGUGCAAGUCUUUGCGGGCUUCGAGGGUUCGAAUCCCUCUCUGUCCGCCA
rnacentral:tRNA from 1 species